rnacentral:rRNA from 1 species
GAGUUUGAUCCUGGCUCAGAACGAACGCUGGCGGCGUGGAUAAGACAUGCAAGUCGAACGAGAGAAUUGCUAGCUUGCUAAUAAUUCUCUAGUGGCGCACGGGUGAGUAACACGUGAGUAACCUGCCCCCGAGAGCGGGAUAGCCCUGGGAAACUGGGAUUAAUACCGCAUAGUAUCGAAAGAUUAAAGCAGCAAUGCGCUUGGGGAUGGGCUCGCGGCCUAUUAGUUAGUUGGUGAGGUAACGGCUCACCAAGGCGAUGACGGGUAGCCGGUCUGAGAGGAUGUCCGGCCACACUGGAACUGAGACACGGUCCAGACACCUACGGGUGGCAGCAGUCGAGAAUCAUUCACAAUGGGGGAAACCCUGAUGGUGCGACGCCGCGUGGGGGAAUGAAGGUCUUCGGAUUGUAAACCCCUGUCAUGUGGGAGCAAAUUAAAAAGAUAGUACCACAAGAGGAAGAGACGGCUAACUCUGUGCCAGCAGCCGCGGUAAUACAGAGGUCUCAAGCGUUGUUCGGAAUCACUGGGCGUAAAGCGUGCGUAGGCUGUUUCGUAAGU